rnacentral:rRNA from 1 species
CAGCGCCACGAGUGGCAACCAUGAUUAUUGGGCCUAAAGCGUUCGUAGCCGGUUUAGUAAAUUUUCUGUGAAAUCGUCCAGCUCAACUGAACGACGUGCAGAAAACACUGCUAGACUUGAGACCGGGAGGAGCAAGGAGUAUUCUUGGGGGAGCGGUAAAAUGUUAUAAUCCCUUGAAGACUACCUGUGGCGAAGGCGCCUCGCUAGAACGGAUCUGACGGUGAGGGACGAAAGCCAGGGGAGCGAACCGGAUUAGAUACCCGAGUAGUCC